GAUCCUGGCUCAGGAUGAACGCUAGCUACAGGCUUAACACAUGCAAGUCGAGGGGCAGCAUUUUAGUUUGCUUGCAAACUGAAGAUGGCGACCGGCGCACGGGUGAGUAACACGUAUCCAACCUGCCGAUAACUCCGGGAUGGCCUUUCGAAAGAAAGAUUAAUACCGGAUGGCAUACGAAUAUCGCAUGAUAUUUUUAUUAAAGAAUUUCGGUUAUCGAUGGGGAUGCGUUCCAUUAGUUUG
rnacentral:rRNA from 1 species